rnacentral:rRNA from 1 species
GUAUGGUGCAAGCGUUAUCCGGAUUUACUGGGUGUAAAGGGAGCGCAGGCGGUCUGGCAAGUCUGAUGUGAAAAUCCGGGGCUCAACUCCGGAACUGCAUUGGAAACUGUCAGACUAGAGUGUCGGAGAGGUAAGUGGAAUUCCUAGUGUAGCGGUGAAAUGCGUAGAUAUUAGGAGGAACACCAGUGGCGAAGGCGGCUUACUGGACGAUAACUGACGCUGAGGCUCGAAAGCGUGGGGAGCAAACAGGAUUAGAUACUCUGGUAGUCCGCGCCGUAAACGAUGAAUACUAGGUGUCGGGGCGCAAAGUGCUUCGGUGCCGCAGCAAACGCAUUAAGUAUUCCACCUGGGGAGU